rnacentral:rRNA from 1 species
GACGUAGGGCGCGAGCGUGUCCGGAUUUAUUGGGCGUAAAGAGCUCGUAGGCGGCUUGUUACGUCGACUGUGAAAACCCGCGGCUCAACCGUGUGGUCUGCAGUCGAUACGGGCAGGCUAGAAUUCGGUAGGGGAGACUGGAAUUCCUGGUGUAGCGGUGAAAUGCGCAGAUAUCAGGAGGAACACCGGUGGCGAAGGCGGGUCUCUGGGCCG